GUGCUUCAGCUGGUGCAGACUUCAGAGUGGAUGCUCAAGAUGGCCUCCAAGCCAUGCAUGGACCUUCAGGCAGGACUGCACAUGCUGGCAAUACAUCAACCACUGCAGAUAGCUCUUCAUUACUGCUGAUUAACGUUAUUACGUGAAGAGUUGAUACAAAAGGGAAAAAAAUGAAGAUGCGUAAGGCAGUACUUAUGUUCAUUCUGUUCAUUACAGGGCAUCUUUGUACCAAUAUGAAUGUUGCUGCGGGAACACCAUCAUAUAGUCCCUCACCUGAAGAAACCUUAACAAAAUCACAUAGUUUCACACCUGGUCCCAAAUUCAAGCAAACUCCUCAAUCAGAAACAAUGUUGCAUGAGAACGAGAGGAACAGGGAACCAGAGAACCGUGGAAUGGAGGUUCCAGAACGUCUGCCAACUAUAGUGGCAGGAGUCAGCAUUUCCCUUGUGUUGAUUUUUAUUCUUGUAAUUACUGGUGUUUGGUGUGCACGAAGAAGAUCAAACGGAAGUUCAGCUGCAAUUAAUUGUAUUCCCUCUGGUGAACCUGGAGUGUCCUUAAAAAAAGUGUCAACACACGAGAACCAACACGAGUGGCCUUUUGAAAGAGCACUAUAAUGACAACUGGAGAGCUGUUGUGUGACCCUCUGGUCUGUGCACCUUUAUGGCAGAACCGCACACACCAUGGGACUUCGAGUCAGUAAUUUUCCCUUUUUUCAGUGAAUUUGGAAUAGCAGCUAACAAAAAAAAAAGAAUCCUGUUACCAAAAGAAUUUCAGUCAAAGGUCUUAAGUAAAAGAUUAAAACCAGGGAGGUUCUUCAAUGCCACCUAAGUGGAACAUGUUGCCUGUAGCGUAACAAAAGAAAGGCUUUUCUUAUGUCCUUUUCAGGAGGAAAAAAGAAAGGAAAAUCCUCUCAGUUGUAGCUAUUUGAACAGCACUCUUAAAGAGCUGUAUCUUCUAAAAAGUUAAAUUCUUGAAAUUAAAGAGAUCCUGGUUACAUAAAAUGGCAUGCUUAGGCUAUGUCUGUUUUAAUAAAUUAAACCUGCCCUGGAAUGUUGCUACUGUU
rnacentral:lncRNA from 1 species